rnacentral:rRNA from 1 species
UACGAACUGUGCAAACGUUAUUCGGAAUCACUGGGCUUAAAGGGUGCGUAGGCGGCUCGUUAGGUAGGGUGUGAAAGCCCCCGGCUCAACCGGGGAAUUGCGCCCUAAACCGGCGGGCUGGAGUGAGAUAGGGGUGUGUGGAACUUCCGGUGGAGCGGUGAAAUGUGUUGAUAUCGGAAGGAACGCCGGUGGCGAAAGCGACACACUGGGUCUCAACUGACGCUGAGGCGCGAAAGCCAGGGGAGCGAACGGG